rnacentral:misc_RNA from 1 species
GAAAUGCGAUAAGUAGUGUGAAUUGCAGAAUUCAGUGAAUCAUCGAAUCUUUGAACGCACAUUGCGCCCCUUGGUAUUCCAUGGGGCAUGCCUGUUCGAGCGUCAUUUGUACCCUCAAGCUCUGCUUGGUGUUGGGUGUUUGUCCCCGUCUCCGCGCGUGGACUCGCCCCAAAGUGAUUGGCAGCCGGCGUACUGGUCCCGGAGCGCAGCACAUUUCGCGCAAACGAGUGCCUUGGUACGGCGGCGUCCAUAAGCCCCUCUCUCACGCUCUUGACCUCGGAUCAGGUAGGGAUACCCGCUGAACUUAAGC